rnacentral:rRNA from 1 species
AAUCUUCCACAAUGGGCGAAAGCCUGAUGGAGCAACGCCGCGUGAGUGAAGAAGGUUUUCGGAUCGUAAAACUUUGUUGUAAGGGAAGAACAAGUACAGUAGUAACUGGCUGUACCUUGACGGUACCUUAUUAGAAAGCCACGGCGAACUACGUGCCAGCAGCCGCGGUAAUACGUAGGGGGCAAGCGUUGUCCGGAAUUAUUGGGCAGAAGGCGCGCGCAGGGGGUCCUUAAAGUCUGAUGUGAAAGCCCACGGCUCAACCGUGGAGGGUCAUUGGAAACUGGGGGACUUGAGUGCAGAAGAGGAAAGUGGAAUUCCAAGUGUAGCGGUGAAAUGCGUAGAGAUUUGGAGGAACACCAGUGGCGAAGGCGACUUUCUGGUCUGUAACUGACGCUGAGGCGCGAAAGCGUGGGGAGCAAACA